AUUGAACGCUGGCGGCAUGCCUUACACAUGCAAGUCGAACGGCAGCACGGGAGCAAUCCUGGUGGCGAGUGGCGAACGGGUGAGUAAUAUAUCGGAACGUGCCCAGUCGUGGGGGAUAACGUAGCGAAAGCUACGCUAAUACCGCAUACGAUCUAUGGAUGAAAGCGGGGGAUCGCAAGACCUCGCGCGAUUGGGGCGGCCGAUAUCAGAUUAGGUAGUUGGUGAGGUAAAGGCUCACCAAGCCGACGAUCUGUAGCUGGUCUGAGAGGACGACCAGCCACACUGGGACUGAGACACGGCCCAGACUCCUACGGGAGGCAGCAGUGGGGAAUUUUUGGACAAUGGGCGCAAGCCUGAUCCAGCAAUGCCGCGUGCAGGAUGAAGGCC
rnacentral:rRNA from 1 species